GACGAACGCUGGCGGCGUGCUUAACACAUGCAAGUCGAACGGUAAGGCCCUUCGGGGUACACGAGUGGCGAACGGGUGAGUAACACGUGGGUGAUCUGCCCUGCACUUCGGGAUAAGCCUGGGAAACUGGGUCUAAUACAGGAUAGGACUCCGGAAUGCAUGGUCUGGGGUGGAAAGCUUUUGCUGUGUGGGAUGGGUCCGCGGCCUAUCAUCUUGUUGGUGGGGUGAUGGCCUACCAAGGCGACGACGGGUACCCGGCCUGAGAGGGUGACCGGCCACACUGGGACUGAGAUACGGCCCAGACUCCUACGGGAGGCAGCAGUGGGGAAUAUUGCACAAUGGGCGCAAGCCUGAUGCAGCGACGCCGCGUGAGGUAUGACGGCCUUCGGGUUGUAAACCUCUUUCAGCAUCGACGAAGCGAAAGUGACGGUAGGUGCAGAUGAAGGACCGGCCAACUACGUGCCAGCCGCCGCAGUAA
rnacentral:rRNA from 1 species